CCUACGGGGCGCAGCAGUGAGGAAUAUUGGUCAAUGGCCGAGAGGCUGAACCAGCCAAGUCGCGUGAGGGAAGACGGCCCUACGGGUUGUAAACCUCUUUUGUCGGGGAGCAAAGAGAGUCACGUGUGACUCAUUGAGAGUACCCGAAGAAAAAGCAUCGGCUAACUCCGUGCCAGCAGCCGCGGUAAUACGGAGGAUGCGAGCGUUAUCCGGAUUUAUUGGGAUUAAAGGGUGCGCAGGCGGAGGCGCAAGUCAGCGGUCACAUUGAGGUGCUCAACCCCGUACUGCCGUU
rnacentral:rRNA from 1 species